GUAAAUUUUACGCUCGUCACGAGUCUCGAAAAGUUGAUGGAAAGGUUCGUGAGAAAGAAUCAGGGUGGAAAGCUUAGAUAUUUGUUUGAAUUUAGAUCAACGUUAUCUCAUUGUUCGAAAGAUUUGGAUUAAGUUCUUGAUUUUAGGGAAAUGCGCGAAGAGUAUGGAUCUUGAUAUGGUUUUCAAGAAUUUUCGAUGAAAAUAUACAAAUAAAAUUCGCAAUAUUCGUCAAAAUAAUAUGUCGAUUUAAAAUUUUCUCUUCUGAACUAAUUCAUUACAAUUUUUUUUAGAUAUUCGACAAAUCGAACUUUUUAAUCCAACUUUAAUAACCAACGAAAGCAAUACGGAGCACAAUUGAGUGAUUUACGAUAAAGCAAACAUCUUCAACGAAUAAUCCAAGCUGAAGGAUAUAGGAUGGUUUAUCGAUUGAAAUUCAAUUCCAUUUUAACUAUGGGAAAGAUACUCGAGAAGAAAUUAAACGACUGGACGUAACAUUUUCACUGUUUCGAAUUUUUUCUCUGUGACACGUAAAAACGCAUGUUACACGGCCAAUUAGUGCUUAUUAUUUCGUGCAUGUCAGUCGUUGGCUAAAUGAAGAAUAAUUUUGAUGCACGAAAUAACGCAGAAUACGAAAAACAUUUUUUUCAAUAGGAACUAUAUAAAACUUGAUACGUCAUAUUUGGACAAUGUUACAUAAAAAUUAACAUCGUUACUGUCAUAGAAUAUUUAUGAUCUCUUUUUUUUUUCAACAAAUAAAAAAGUUUUUAAUAUUUCGACAAAAGAAA